GGGCCCGUAGCUCAGUUUGGUCAGAGCAGGGGACUCAUAAUCCCUUGGUCCCAGGUUCGAGUCCUGGCGGGCCCACUA
rnacentral:tRNA from 1 species